AUCCACUCCUUUUUCCAUUUGCAAGAGACGUACUCUUUUUAUUCUUUUCAUCUCUCUCUCUCUCUCUCUCUUUCUCUCUCUCUCUCUCUCUCUCUCUCUCUAAACCAAAACUCAUGCUUUUUCACCUCAAUUUAUUCUUUAGAUCUAAUAACAUUUUUUUUUUCAAAUACCAUGAUUGUAUCAACAAAAUCUCAACAAAACGGUGUCGAGGUGGUCAGUGGUUUCGGUUCAAAUGACGGCGUUCAAGCCGGUUCGAGUGGUGGAGGUGACGGUGGUUGUGGUUGACACUUGGUUCACAUGGUGGCUUGGUUCCAUGGCUACAUAUGAACAUCAAAAUAUCAUCAUCCAGAUGCUCCGAACCAAAAAGAUGCUCCGAAUCAAAAGAUGAUCCAGAUCUAAAAGAUGAUGCUUCAGAUGACGGUUGAAAAUGUUCCAGAUGCUCCGGUUGAAGAUGCUCCGAAAAGAUGCUACCAGAUCCAAAAGAUGCUCCAGAUCCGGUUGAAUAUGUUCAAUGUUGAAGAUGAUGUUUCAGAUGACGGUUCGAUGUUGAAGAUGAUCUAAAAGGUGUUCGAUUGUUGAACAUGAUGUUCCAAUUCUAAAAGAUCCUCCAGAUCCAUAAGGUUAUGCAACUGAUCUGGAUACAUUUUGGUUCAAUAAUAAUUGUGCGACGAAGAUGUAAUGGAUCUAGAUUUGUAGAAGUGAUAGUUACAAAUGGAACAUUUUUUUUUUUGCAAUUAGAUGUAUUUUUUUUAUCAGUAAUACAUUACAUUUUUCGUAGUUACAUUCUUUUUUUUUAUUAGUAAAGUGUAACAGUUUUUAUUUGUAAAAGUGUAACAAUUUUUUUUA